GGGUUGUGAGGUUAAGCGACUAAGCGUACACGGUGGAUGCCCUGGCAGUCAGAGGCGAUGAAGGACGUGCUAAUCUGCGAUAAGCGCCGGUAAGGUGAUAUGAACCGUUAUAACCGGCGAUUUCCGAAUGGGGAAACCCAGUGUGAUUCGUCACACUAUCAUUAACUGAAUCCAUAGGUUAAUGAGGCGAACCGGGGGAACUGAAACAUCUAAGUACCCCGAGGAAAAGAAAUCAACCGAGAUUCCCCCAGUAGCGGCGAGCGAACGGGGAGGAGCCCAGAGCCUGAAUCAGCAUGUGUGUUAGUGGAAGCGUCUGGAAAGACGCGCGAUACAGGGUGACAGCCCCGUACACAAAAGCGCAUGUGCUGUGAGCUCGAUGAGUAGGGCGGGACACGUGGUAUCCUGUCUGAAUAUGGGGGGACCAUCCUCCAAGGCUAAAUACUCCUGACUGACCGAUAGUGAACCAGUACCGUGAGGGAAAGGCGAAAAGAACCCCGGCGAGGGGAGUGAAAAAGAACCUGAAACCGUGUACGUACAAGCAGUGGGAGCCCCACCACUAAGCCAGUGGUGAACUCCACAUACGCAUCCUUUGCUGAGGAUACGGUUAACGGAGCGAAAGCGACGUUCAACCUCAAAAGAAGCAGAGGGGGCUUAGUGGUGGGGUGACUGCGUACCUUUUGUAUAAUGGGUCAGCGACUUAUAUUCUGUAGCAAGGUUAACCGAAUAGGGGAGCCGGAGGGAAACCGAGUCUUAACCGGGCGUUAAGUUGCAGGGUAUAGACCCGAAACCCGGUGAUCUAGCCAUGGGCAGGUUGAAGGUUGGGUAACACUAACUGGAGGACCGAACCGACUAAUGUUGAAAAAUUAGCGGAUGACCUGUGGCUGGGGGUGAAAGGCCAAUCAAACCGGGAGAUAGCUGGUUCUCCCCGAAAGCUAUUUAGGUAGCGCCUCGUGAACUCAUCUCCGGGGGUAGAGCACUGUUUCGGCUAGGGGGCCAUCCCGGCUUACCAACCCGAUGCAAACUGCGAAUACCGGAGAAUGUUAUCACGGGAGACACACGGCGGGUGCUAACGUCCGUCGUGAAGAGGGAAACAACCCAGACCGCCAGCUAAGGUCCCAAAGU
rnacentral:rRNA from 1 species